rnacentral:rRNA from 1 species
UACGUAGGUGGCAAGCGUUGUCCGGAUUUAUUGGGUUUAAAGGGUGCGUAGGCGGCCUUGUAAGUCAGUGGUGAAAUACUCUAGCUUAACUAGAGGGGUGCCAUUGAUACUGCAGGGCUUGAGUACAGACGGGGUAGGCGGAAUUGACGGUGUAGCGGUGAAAUGCAUAGAUAUCGUCAAGAACUCCGAUAGUGAAGACAGCUUACUAGGCUGUAACUGACGCUGAGGCACGAAAGUGUGGGGAUCAAACAGG